rnacentral:lncRNA from 10 species
GGGAGGGUCGACAUUGUCCAAUUCUGGAAAGAGGAUCUCACUCUGUGGCCCAGGCUGGAGUACAAUGGUGCAAUCUCAGCUUACUGCAGCCUCGACCUCCUGAGCACAAGCGAUCCUCCACCUCAGCGCCCCCCUGCUCCUCCAGUAGCUGGGACUACAGAACUUCCUACUUCAGAUCCCUGAAGGAGCCUGGAAGCGGAUCACAGCCCAGGGAGGGCACGGGAAUCUCUGCAUUUUCACAAGCACGGCAAGUGGCUCUGAUCACACUAAAGUUCCAGAAUUUACUCAAGAUUUCAAGAUGUUCACGCAGAGUCUGUCGAGCUCACCUCUGGAUACCCCAGCUCCUACACGAAGCAAAUGUUUCUUUUUUUAUUUUUUGAGACAGUCUCACUGUGUUGCCCAUGCUGGAGUGCAGUGUCCCAAUCUUGGCUCACUGCAGCCUCCGCCUCCCGGGUUCAAGUGAUUCUCCUGCCUCAGCCUUCUGAGUAGCUGGGACUUCAGGUGUGUGCCACCACACCUGGUUAAAUUUUGUAUUUUUAGUAGAGACGAGGUUUCACCAUGUUGGCCAGGCUGGUCUGGAACUCCUGACCUCAGGUGACCCACCUGCCUUGACCUCCCAAAGUGCUGGGAUUACAGGUGUGAGCCAUUACGCCUGGCCCUGAUGUUUCUUUCUUUUUUUCUUUUUUUUUGAGAUGGAGUCUUACUCUGUCGCCCAGGCUGGGGUGCGGUGGCGCGACCUCAAUUCACUGCAACCUCCACCUCCCGGAUUCAAGUGAUUCUCCUGCCUCAGCCCCCCACGUAGCUGGGAUUACAGGCCAGCACCGCCACGCCUGGUUAAUUUUUGUAUUUUUAGUAGAGAUGGGGUUUCACCAGUUGGCCAGGCUGGUCUUGAACUCCUGACCUACAGUGAUCCACCCACCUCGGCCUCUUAAAGUGCUGGGAUUACAGGCAUGAACCACCAUGCCUGGCCCAAGCCAACGUUUCUACAGGUUUGAAGAACAGAAGCGUGAACAGUUCCUUUGCAACCUCUCCCUGGCUUUUCGCUUUUGGGGUUAGAGUUAAGCUCCAUGGCUGAAGGACCCAGACUUGAGAAAAAAUACAAAGUCAACAGAAUUUGGAG